CUGAGAGGAUGACCAGCCACACUGGAACUGAGACACGGUCCAGACUCCUACGGGAGGCAGCAGUGGGGAAUAUUGCACAAUGGGCGCAAGCCUGAUGCAGCCAUGCCGCGUGUAUGAAGAAGGCCUUCGGGUUGUAAAGUACUUUCAGCGGGGAGGAAGGGAGUAAAGUUAAUACCUUUGCUCAUUGACGUUACCCGCAGAAGAAGCACCGGCUAACUCCGUGCCAGCAGCCGCGGUAAUACGGAGGGUGCAAGCGUUAAUCGGAAUUACUGGGCGUAAAGCGCACGCAGGCGGUUUGUUAAGUCAGAUGUGAAA
rnacentral:rRNA from 1 species